rnacentral:rRNA from 1 species
AGCAUAUCAAUAAGCGGAGGAAAAGAAACCAACAGGGAUUGCCCCAGUAACGGCGAGUGAAGCGGCAACAGCUCAAAUUUGAAAUCUGGCCCCCAGGGCCCGAGUUGUAAUUUGCAGAGGAUGCUUUGGGCGAGGUGCCUUCCGAGUUCCCUGGAACGGGACGCCACAGAGGGUGAGAGCCCCGUCUGGUCGCGCGCCGAGCCUGUGUAAAGCUCCUUCGACGAGUCGAGUAGUUUGGGAAUGCUGCUCAAAAUGGGAGGUAUAUGUCUUCUAAAGCUAAAUACCGGCCAGAGACCGAUAGCGCACAAGUAGAGUGAUCGAAAGAUGAAAAGCACUUUGAAAAGAGAGUUAAACAGCACGUGAAAUUGUUGAAAGGGAAGCGUUCAUGACCAGACUUGGCCCGGUUGAUCAUCCAGCGUUCUCGCUGGUGCACUCUGCCGGUCCAGGCCAGCAUCAGUUCGCCGCGGGGGAUAAAGGUUUCGGGAAUGUGGCUCCCCCGGGAGUGUUAUAGCCCGUUGCGCAAUACCCUGCGGUGGACUGAGGUCCGCGCUCUGCAAGGAUGCUGGCGUAAUGGUCAUCAACGACCCGUCUUGAAACACGGACCAAGGAGUCGUCUUCGUAUGCGAGUGUUCGGGUGUAAAACCCCUACGCGUAAUGAAAGUGAACGGAGGUGGGAGCCUCGGCGCACCAUCGACCGAUCCUGAUGUUCUCGGAUGGAUUUGAGUAAGAGCAUACGGGGCCGGACCCGAAAGAAGGUGAACUAUGCCUGUAUAGGGUGAAGCCAGAGGAAACUCUGGUGGAGGCUCGCAGCGGUUCUGACGUGCAAAUCGAUCGUCAAAUAUGGGCAUGGGGGCGAAAGACUAAUCGAACCUUCUAGUAGCUGGUUUC